CUGUUUUCCACGUCUAGGUCUGUGACUUCUCGUGGAAACAUGGGGAUGCCCAUAUAUUCCACCUCUGGGUUUUUUCUUUCUCUCUUUCUUUCCUCACAGCUAUCGCAAUGAUAAAAAGUAAAAGUGCUUUAUGUGACUGAACUCCUAAUAAGCCUGCUUCAGAGUGGGAAGGCAACCCUGCAAGGAAUCCACUGGAUUUGCCAGCGGCCCAUCAAGGUUGGGUCACAUACUGAACUAACUCACACCAACGUAUCAGGGACUUCUCAGACCAGGUUCCCUCUGGCAGGGCGGCAGACGAUGCACAAGCUCUAGAUACCUGGUGAACAUGGCAGCUCAAAGCAAGUGGAGAGCAGUGUGAGGUGAGCAAUAUCAAAGAUGAAAUUUACCAAUAUUGCCACUGAUCUCAGUGGCUCAGACUGUGCACCUGACGUUGUGACCCACAGGUGGAAAGCUGCUUUCCUACCUGUUUGCACACAGAACAACCCUUGCCCACAUCUAGAUUUUUUUUUUUUAAGGAAACUUCAGAAUCUUUAGGAUGAUUAACUCUCACUUAAGAGAUAGAGUAAAUGAGCUCUUUCCCCAAUAAUCAAAGGAAGCUUUCAAUACUGAAACAUCUCAAGAAUGUUCUGACCCGUUCAUUGUAUUGUUUAUUCUGAAAGACAGUGUAAUGGGUAGGAAGACAGAUUCUGACAUCAGAAGGCCUGAGCUCCUAUCCCAGCUAGGCCACUUGUAAUUGUGUGACCUCAAACAAGUUACUUAUCUCUCAGGCCUUCAGUUUUCUGAUCUCUGAAAUGAGGGUAAGGUUGUUGUGAGGAGUAAAUGAGAUAAACUAAGGAUGGUAACUGGCACAGAGGAAGAACUCCAUAAAUAUGAAUGCUCAUCCUUUUACUUUUCAUUAGCGCUCGUCAGAGACCACUCAACAUUUAUCAUACAGUCAUCUUGCCCAUUGGAAAGGAUGUUUGGUUUUGUGAAAAUGAGGGGCUUUCCAAAUAUGACCCAUUACUUCCAACCUAUCAACACAUAAAAGAUUCCCUUAGGUAUACUCAUAUGUAUAGUUUCAAAUGUCCAUGUGAUGUCUUGAAAAAUUGAAGUCUUUUAUUGAUAUUAUGACUUUUAAUGAAUAAAUAAAUAUUCUUAAAUUGA